rnacentral:piRNA from 1 species
UACCCAUCAGGACAAGACCUCACAUGAC